UACCAUGUGCAUUGCUUUUGGUCUCAUAGAUUUAAAAAGAGCAAUUCGACUUGGUGUGUCAACUGGUGAUGGAAAUCCCAGGAUGAGGGGAUUAAUCCCUGUGCUCUUGGAUCAAAAUAUGCAGGGUCAAGAGAAAAACGAAAGAGAGCCCAGGAUGUGACUCUUCCCAAUGCUGAGACAUACAGAGUGGAUUACAGCUGAGUGUUUUUGAACAAAGGCUUAAUAAACUUCAACCUCCGUGGUACCGAGUACUGAAGUCACAGUGAAAUACAGCAGUACAAAAACCCUCUUCUUCUUUUUCACUGUUUCUUGGCAUUUUGCCAUCACCAACCUCUGCCAUCGGAAUACCUCUAAAAUCUUUCACCAAUGCUGUUAUUGUGGUUAAAUGCUAUAAAACUCAGAGGCACAGAAUGAUUACAAUCACACAAAUCAAUGAGUAAAACACUAAAAACCUAAAAAAUUAAUGGACAAAGGGCAAAUGCAGAAAUUCACUUAUUGGUCAACAAACUUCAAAAAAUGUUUUAACUCUCUGGUAAUAAAAAUGCAAAUAAAGAAUUAAGAAACCAUUUUUUUGUACAGAUAUCUAAGCAAUCCUUUUAGAAAAAAAGUGAUGUUCUCAAUGCUGGCAAGAUGUUGGUAUCAAUAUAAAUUGUUGUAUUUUUAUUGGAAACCAAUUAGUUUAUACCAACAGGGUGAAAAUAUUUAUACUAGUUUGAGCAAAUAGUUCCACUUUGGCAAAUUGACUUUAAGAACAUACUAUACCUGUUUGAAUAUAAAGUGAGGUUUAUCAUUGUCAGAGAAGAGAGAAUCCCCAUAAAAUGGAUUCCUUAUAAAAAUUACAAAAAGCAAUAUUACAAUGCUUUCACGCAAUUUUUUUAUUUUGCACAAUUAAGUACAGUUUAGCGAAGACACAUUAACCUGGGAUGAUCUCAUUCAAUGCUGGUUCAUAGAUACUCAAGGAAGUCAGCUGAUGAGGUUAGUAAAAAGGUGACUAAGUAAUUUAACAAAACUUAGUAACUAUUCUUGCAAAUAUGUCUUUGAAAUUACAAAUAUUCAAUAUUGUUUAAAUAAAUCUUUUAAAGGAAA